GAUGAACGCUGGCGGCGUGCCUAAUACAUGCAAGUCGAGCGAAUGGAUUAAGAGCUUGCUCUUAUGAAGUUAGCGGCGGACGGGUGAGUAGCACGUGGGUAACCUGCCCAUAAGACUGGGAUAACUCCGGGAAACCGGGGCUAAUACCGGAUAACAUUUUGAACCGCAUGGUUCGAAAUUGAAAGGCGGCUUCGGCUGUCACUUAUGGAUGGACCCGCGUCGCAUUAGCUAGUUGGUGAGGUAACGGCUCACCAAGGCAACGAUGCGUAGCCGACCUGGGAGGGUGAUCGGCCACACUGGGACUGGAACACGGCCCAGACUCCUACGGGAGGCAGCAGUAGGGAAUCUUCCGCAAUGGACGAAAGUCUGACGGAGCAACGCCGCGUGAGUGAUGAAGGCUUUCGGGUCGUAAAACUCUGUUGUUAGGGAAGAACAAGUGCUAGUUGAAUAAGCUGGCACCUUGACGGUACCUAACCAGAAAGCCACGGCUAACUACGUGCCAGCCGCCGCAGUAA
rnacentral:rRNA from 1 species